CAGCCGCCGCGGUAAAACGAAGGGUGCAAGCGUUACUCGGAAUUACUGGGCGUAAAGCGUGCGUAGGUGGUGGUUUAAGUCCGUUGUGAAAGCCCUGGGCUCAACCUGGGAAUUGCAGUGGAUACUGGGUCACUAGAGUGUGGUAGAGGAUAGUGGAAUUUCCGGUGUAGCAGUGAAAUGCGUAGAGAUCGGAAGGAACAUCUGUGGCGAAGGCGACUAUCUGGGCCAACACUGACACUGAGGCACGAAAGCGUGGGGAGCAAACAGGAUUAGAUACCCCAGUAGUCCCUGUCUCUUAUAC
rnacentral:rRNA from 1 species